AUUGAACGCUGGCGGCAGGCCUAACACAUGCAAGUCGAACGAGUGGCGGACGGGUGAGUAAUGUCUGGGAACCUGCCUGAUGGAGGGGGAUAACUACUGGAAACGGUAGCUAAUACCGCAUACCAUCAGAUGUGCCCAGAUGGGAUGAGCUAGUUGGUGGGGUAACGGCUCACCAAGGCGACGAUCCCUAGCUGGUCUGAGAGGAUGACCAGCCACCCUGGAACGGUGACACGGUCCAGACGCCUAGGGGAGGCAGCAGUGGGGAAUCUUGCACAAGGGGUGCAAGCCAGAUGCAGCCAUGCCGCGUGUAUGAAGAAGGCCUUCGGGGUGUAAAGUACUUUCAGCGGGGAGGCGUUACCCGCAGAAGAAGCAACGGCUAACUCCGUGCCAGCAGCCGCGGUAAUUC
rnacentral:rRNA from 1 species